CACGUAGGCACCAAGCGUUGUCCGGAUUUAUUGGGCGUAAAGAGCGUGUAGGCGGCCUGGUAGGUCCGCUGUGAAAACUCGAGGCUCAACCUCGAGAUGUCGGCGGAAACCACUUGGCUAGAGUCCGGAAGAGGAGAGUGGAAUUCCUGGUGUAGCGGUGAAAUGCGCAGAUAUCAGGAAGAACACCUAUGGCGAAGGCAGCUCUCUGGGACGGUACUGACGCUGAGGCUCGAAAGCGUGGGGAGCAAACAGG
rnacentral:rRNA from 1 species